rnacentral:rRNA from 1 species
CUUGGAGAAGGUUAGGUCUACCAGGCGUUGGUUGUCCUGGGGAAAGGAGGUAGGCGGUGAUCUUAGGCAAAUCCGGGAUCACUUACGCCGAGCACCGAGACGAGUCCUAUGAGGACGAAGUGACUAACACCACGCUUCCAGGAAAAGCCACUAAGCUUCAGCUUAAGAAAAACCGUACCGCAAACCGACACAGGUAGGCAGGGUGAGAAUCCCAAGGCGCUUGAGAGAACUCGGGUGAAGGAACUAGGCAAAAUGGCACCGUAACUUCGGGAGAAGGUGCGCCCUUUGGUGUGGUCACGUGCGUGACUGAGCAACGAAGGGCCGCAGUAACCUGGCCGCUGCGACUGUUUAUCAAAAACACAGCACUCUGCAAACACGAAAGUGGACGUAUAGGGUGUGACGCCUGCCCGGUGCUGGAAGGUUAAUUGAUGGGGUCAGCCGCAAGGCGAAGCUCUUGAUCGAAGCCCCAGUAAACGGCGGCCGUAACAAUAACGGUCCUAAGGUAGCGAAAUUCCUUGUCGGGUAAGUUCCGACCUGCACGAAUGGCGUAACGACAGCGGCGCUGUCUCCACCCGAGACUCAGUGAAAUUGAAAUCGCUGUGAAGAUGCAGCGUUCCCGCGGCAAGACGGAAAGACCCCGUGAACCUUUACUAUAGCUUUACACUGAACGUUGAGUUCUUCUGUGUAGGAUAGGUGGGAGGCUAUGAGACCAGGACGCUAGUUCUGGUGGAGCCAUCCUUGAAAUACCACCCUGAAGUGCUUGACGUUCUAACCUAGGCCCGUAAUCCGGGUCAGGGACCGUGUAUGGUGGGUAGUUUGACUGGGGCGGUCUCCUCCCAAAGAGUAACGGAGGAGCACGAAGGUACGCUUAGCGCGGUCGGACAUCGCGCACUGUGUGCAAAGGCAUAAGCGUGCUUGACUGCGAGAUCGACGGAUCAAGCAGGUACGAAAGUAGGUCUUAGUGAUCCGGUGGUUCUGUAUGGAAGGGCCAUCGCUCAACGGAUAAAAGGUACUCCGGGGAUAACAGGCUGAUACCGCCCAAGAGUUCAUAUCGACGGCGGUGUUUGGCACCUCGAUGUCGGCUCAUCACAUCCUGGGGCUGUAGCCGGUCCCAAGGGUAUGGCUGUUCGCCAUUUAAAGUGGUACGCGAGCUGGGUUCAGAACGUCGUGAGACAGUUCGGUCCCUAUCUGUCGUGGGCGUUGGAGAUUUGAGGGGGGCUGCUCCUAGUACGAGAGGACCGGAGUGGACGUUCCGCUGGUGUUCGGGUUGUCAUGCCCAUGGCAUUGCCCGGUAGCUACGAACGGAAGUGAUAACCGCUGAAAGCAUCUAAGCGGGAAGCACGCCCCAAGAUGAGAUCUCCCGAGAGCUUGACUCUCCUAAAGGCACCAUCAAGACUAGGUGGUUGAUAGGUCAGGUGUGGAAGCGCAGCAAUGCGUUGAGCUAACUGAUACUAAUGAGCCGUGAGGCUUGACC